rnacentral:tRNA from 2 species
UUAAUUGAAGCCAAAAAGAGGCUUAUCACUGUUAAUGAUAGAACUGAGACCGAUCUCCAAUUAAG